GACGAACCGAGCGAACGUUAUUCGGAUUCACUGGGCUUAAAGGGUGCGUAGGCGGCACGGCAAGUCGGGAGUGAAAGCCCGGGGCUCAACCCCGGAGGGUCUCUCGAAACUGCCGAGCUAGAGUGCGGAAGAGGCAAUCGGAAUUCCCAGUGUAGCGGUGAAAUGCGCAGAUAUCAGGAAGAACACCCGUGGCGAAGGCGGCUCUCUGGGACGGUACUGACGCUGAGACGCGGAAAGCGUGGGGAGCGAACAGG
rnacentral:rRNA from 1 species